GGCCAUCAUCUGACUUCAGCCUCCUAAAUGCUGGGAUUACAGUGCAGGGAGCAUAUGUAAGCAAUUCUGUGCACUGGGCCAACGAGAAACAUACCCAUGACGGCUCUGCCAGAGAAGUGGGAUAUUCAACACUGCACUUGGCAGACAGCGACAAGUUGACUGAGACUCGCUCUCAAGACCGGCUCUCUCCCCACCGCCUCCUCAGGGCUGACCUGAGGCCUGAGCCCAAGCAGGUUCUCCCUGUGGCAGGUGGAAGAGCUCCUGGGAAAUAUGCUCACGUGUAUAUUUUGAUAGAAAUUUGCCAGAUGUCACGGAAGCAAGCGCAAGGUGCCACCUACUUGGCCUGGGUAUGGGGAAGUUUUCACAAGGAGAUGACAUUUUGGAUGGGCUUUGAAAGAUUCUAGGCAGAAGAGAGACUUGCAUGUUCAAGACAGACAUCAUAAGUCUGACUAUGCUAGUCUCCUGCUCAGAGUCCCUUACUUCCCAUCCACAAAGAGCAAUAGCAGAAGUCUUAACAAUGACCAACAUCCAAUGUAUUGUGUUUACUUAUGUUUGUUUAGUGUUUGUCUCCUUCAACAAUGACCAAAGGCCAUAUCCGGGUGCCAGGGGCCUCCUGUGCUCCAGCCAUCACCCUUGCUUUCUGCCCUGGGCAUAUGGCCUUCCCCUUGACACCUGCCUGGUUUCCUGUGGGUCUGCAAUUGGAGGGCACCUUCCCAGUGAGGUCUUUUCUCACCACGCUUCCCUGACGUCCCCCUACCCCUUCAUUUCAUUUUCUCCCUAUCAAUUCCUACCAGCCAACAUCUAAUAUAUUUUGUUUAUUUAUUUUUAUUUAUUGUCUUUCUCCUUGAAGAGGAAAGUUCACAAGGGCAGGAAUUUUCAUGUCAGUUUACUAUUCCAGUCCUGGUGCCUAGAACGGCAGUUGGCAUAUGGUAGUUGUUCAAUAAAUAUGUGCAGGCUGACUGAAGUUAAAGGCCUAGGAAAGAUACAUGAGAAGAAGGCUCUGGAGUCAGUAUGCGAGGCAAAGAGAAGCCCUGAACAUUUUAAACUAGGAGAAUGAGGUAGUGAGUUUCUGUUCUCAAGCCUAACAGUUCUGCUGGUGACAACAACAGUGUCGUGGUGACAGAGGGGCGGCAGGGAGAGACUGCCAACAGGACAUCCCACGAGAUCACUGCCCAGGAAAGUGACAGCUUGGCAGGGGCACAGGU